rnacentral:rRNA from 1 species
GAACGCUGGCGGCAGGCCUAACACAUGCAAGUCGAACGGUAACAGGAAGCAGCUUGCUGCUUCGCUGACGAGUGGCGGACGGGUGAGUAAUGUCUGGGAAACUGCCUGAUGGAGGGGGAUAACUACUGGAAACGGUAGCUAAUACCGCAUAACGUCGCAAGACCAAAGAGGGGGACCUUCGGGCCUCUUGCCAUCGGAUGUGCCCAGAUGGGAUUAGCUAGUAGGUGGGGUAACGGCUCACCUAGGCGACGAUCCCUAGCUGGUCUGAGAGGAUGACCAGCCACACUGGA